AAAUUGAAGAGUUUGAUCAUGGCUCAGAUUGAACGCUGGCGGCAGGCCUAACACAUGCAAGUCGAACGGUAGCACAGAGGAGCUUGCUCCUUGGGUGACGAGUGGCGGACGGGUGAGUAAUGUCUGGGAAACUGCCCGAUGGAGGGGGAUAACUACUGGAAACGGUAGCUAAUACCGCAUAACGUCGCAAGACCAAAGAGGGGGACCUUCGGGCCUCUUGCCAUCGGAUGUGCCCAGAUGGGAUUAGCUAGUAGGUGGGGUAACGGCUCACCUAGGCGACGAUC
rnacentral:rRNA from 1 species